UACGUCGGUGGCAAGCGUUGUCCGGAUUUACUGGGCGUAAAGAGCGCGCAGGCGGUCGUUCAAGUCGCGUGUGAAAGCCCCCGGCUCAACUGGGGAGGGUCACGCGAUACUGAUCGACUCGAAGGCAGGAGAGGGAAGUGGAAUUCCCGGUGUAGUGGUGAAAUGCGUAGAUAUCGGGAGGAACACCAGUGGCGAAGGCGACUUCCUGGCCUGUUCUUGACGCUGAGGCGCGAAAGCUAGGGGAGCAAACGGG
rnacentral:rRNA from 1 species